UGUGCUUAUCACAUAGUGUUAUAAUCAUCAGUUUAGUUAUUCUAUACAUCACCUACCUGCUGUUCCCCAAGUCUCCGAGCUUUUUUAGGAAGGCCUAGACUCCCUUGAUGCUGCUGUCUACAUAAGACUUAGCUCAGAAUAGGUGCUCAGUGGGUAUGUGUAGAACAGAACAAAUGGAUGCUGAAUGCUUCCCUGGGCUUGGGAUCCUACCAUAUCCCCCCUAGCCCCUCCUCCUCCUCCUAAUCAAAACCUCUAUGGCCCUGAUUUGAGAGAGUGAGUGGAUGUUGAUUGGCUCAGACUUCAUAGCUUCGGGAGCAUAAUCUCCCUCUAUAUUCCUUAAAUAAGCCCUGUGCCUGUUCAGUGUGUUCAUAGCAGCCUUGAUUGUAAUUCAGCCUUUACUCCAUUACUCUUAUUUAUAACGUGGCAGAGCAUAGAGCCCCAGGCCGUCAGCGGAAUGAUUACAGGACCCUUUUGACUUGCAAUUCCACACCAUUCAGUCCAAUUUAAACCCGCCACAGAUGGUGCCCUGUGGCAGGGAAGGGACUGUAAGAAGAUGCCAGGCUGGGGCUGGGGAGGAGGGAAGGACCCUCUUGAUUUUCUGACUGCAUCAGAGGAGGAGGAGAAAAAGGCUCAGGAUGUCCAGUGUCCCCCUGGACCAGAACAGUGAGUGGCUGAACAAUGGCAAGUCAUGGCCUUCUCUGACAGGGUCAUCCUAUGAGAUGAUGAAAUGUGAUGGUCAUAUUGCCAAGCUAGCAGUGAGGAAAGAUGAACGCCACCCUGGUCUUGGCUCUGAGACCCUAGGUGAGACCACAGUGUCCUCAUCUGUCCAAUGGGAAGAAUGAUCCCUCCCCCCCCACACACACACCCCCCAACUCCUUUGCUAGAUGACUGGAUGAAGUAAAGGGAGACACUCAUGAGAAGAUACUCUGAAUAAAAUGUUGUCUGUGCCAAGUUCAUAGCAAAGAUUAACACUAUUCAACCCAAUGGAAGGUGUCUGGAAAACUGAAACCAAGAGGCUUGAUGAGAAAGGCUACAAUCCCCAUCCAUGUGCUAAUACCCCAGCUUCCCAACACGGCACAGUCAGGGCUUAGUCUCUGACACCAGCCACCUGAGUUCCCCGCUCUGCCACUCUAUUUAUUAGUGGAGUAAUCUUGCAGAUGUGCCUUAACUUCUCAAGGUCUCAUUUUCCUCCUAUAAACUGGAAAUAAUAUCAGAAUAAUCACUGGCAUGUGAGUGCCAGAAAGGCACAGACUGGACCCCCUCACUCAUCCCCAAGCCCCAAGUCCUGGCGCCUAGAACAAUGCCUGAUAUUAGGUAGCCACUUACUCGAAAAGAACAAUGGACAUUUUGUUCCCAGAUGCUUGCACAUUUUAUCUCAUUUACCUCCCAACAUCUCUUUGGCUUACAAACAAUAACACGUCCACAUGUGUGCAGCAUUGAGCUAAUGACGUCCACAUGUGUGCAGCAUUGAGCUAAUGACGUUCACACGUGGGCAGCAUUGAGAUAUGACAUCCACAUGUGUGCAGCAUUGAGCUAAUGACGUUCACACGCGGGCAGCAUUGAGAUAAUGUGUCAGCACAAGGCUUGGGACCAGCGUCUGCUGCAUCAGGUCUGUAACUGUGUGCUGCUCCGACCACCACCUCUUUGGUGCCACACAAAGGUGUUGCCAGUUAAUGUGUGCUUUGGGACUGCUUGCUCUAAAGCUCCGGGGCCUGUAUUUGAUGGGUCUGCUUCUCACAGAACCCGAUUUAGGACAGAACUGCUGUGAGCUUCAUGGAGGUAAUGCAUGUAAAGUGCUGAAUAAAGCAUCAGGCAGAGACACAAGCCCUCCAUAAAUGAUGCAGCAAUGGAGGGGCAGAAAUACACCCUGAUAGGCCAAACUACUGUGUGUAGGGCAAGUUUAAAGGAAGAAAGCAGGUGGCCUGCCACCUAUCCUCCUAAUAAAUCUCACCAUUUGUGAUUUGUUAUUUAUUUGCCCUGUGCCUACACACAUACAUACUGGAAAAUAAGCGCCACAGCUGCGAGGAUGUUUGCCUGUUUUGUUCACAGUGAUAUCCCUCAGGAGCCCAGUGCAGUGCCUGGCACAUAUUAAGUGCUCAUUAAUAUUUAUUAGGUGAGCAAAUACUCCUCGAAGGAUACCCACAGCCUAUCCAUGCAGAAGCUCCUUCUGGCCUUCCUCAGAGGAAACAGUUCCAAAGGGUUUCAGGGCUGGCCCCCCAUUAUGAUCAGAAUAGUGCAGUUAAAUGGGGGCUCUGGGGCCAGACCGCCAAAGUGACCUCUGGCUCCCCUAGUUAGCCCCUGUGAGACUUUGGGCAAGGUACUGGCUCUCAGUAUCUCCAUCUUUAAAUAGGACAACUGACAAUAUUUAUCAAAGGAAGUACAGGAGGUAGAACACCAAUCCCAGAAUAAACACACAGCCCAGACUAGCUAUCAUUAAAGUAAUGAGAAAUGCCUUCGCAUCCCUAAGACUUCUUCUCUCAUGCUGCCAAUAUAUUAGGGGGCAUUUUCCAAAGUGUGGGGAGAUGCACGAACGCUGGUGCCUUCUGGUGCAGAAAAUAAUGGCCCACAGUCCGUUUUCAUCAAAUUAAUGAACAGAGAAUAACAACAUGAGAAAGUUGUGUCCUCCCCAGUGUCUUUCAGCCUUUCUGCUAACCUCAAGGAGAAAGCAUCAGUGAGGGGCUAUAAUGUUUCUAACAAGCCAGGGAGAACAGCCCUCAAAGCCCCUUGGCUCUUGACAUUAGCUGGCUACAAUGUAACAGUGCUGCUUCCUUUCAUUAUUCCUAUUUGUAGAGGGGUCUUCCCCUUUUAGUAAGUGAUGCUAGUUUUCCAUUUAUCAUCAUGAUAUUGAAGUUUCCAUUUUCAAUGCCUGUAUUACUUUAGGAAAAAAAUAAGCAAAAAGAGAUCUAAAAUAUGGCACAAAUGAACCUACUUACAAAACAAAA